GCGAUGGUGGUUCAGUGGUAGAAUUCUUGCCUUCUAUGCUGGAGACCCGGGUUCAAUUCCCAGCCAAUGCA
rnacentral:tRNA from 1 species